rnacentral:rRNA from 1 species
UCGGUGGGGAUUAGUGGCGAACGGGUGAGUAACACGUGGGCAAUCUGCCCUUCACUCUGGGACAAGCCCUGGAAACGGGGUCUAAUACCGGAUACGACCUGCCGAGGCAUCUCGGUGGGUGGAAAGCUCCGGCGGUGAAGGAUGAGCCCGCGGCCUAUCAGCUUGUUGGUGAGGUAACGGCUCACCAAGGCGACGACGGGUAGCCGGCCUGAGAGGGCGACCGGCCACACUGGGACUGAGACACGGCCCAGACUCCUACGGGAGGCAGCAGUGGGGAAUAUUGCACAAUGGGCGAAAGCCUGAUGCAGCGACGCCGCGUGAGGGAUGACGGCCUUCGGGUUGUAAACCUCUUUCAGCAGGGAAGAAGCGAAAGUGACGGUACCUGCAGAAGAAGCGCCGGCUAACUACGUGCCAGCAGCCGCGGUAAUACGUAGGGCGCAAGCGUUGUCCGGAAUUAUUGGGCGUAAAGAGCUCGUAGGCGGCUUGUCACGUCGGUUGUGAAAGCCCGGGGCUUAACCCCGGGUCUGCAGUCGAUACGGGCAGGCUAGAGUUCGGUAGGGGAGAUCGGAAUUCCUGGUGUAGCGGUGAAAUGCGCAGAUAUCAGGAGGAACACCGGUGGCGAAGGCRGRUCUCUGGGCMKWWACUGACGCUGAGGAGCGAAAGCRUGGGGAGCGAACAGGAUUAGAUACCCUGGUAGUCCAUGCCGUAAACGUUGGGCACUAGGUGUGGGGGACAUUCCACGUUUUCCGCGCCGUAGCUAACGCAUUAAGUGCCCCGCCUGGGGAGUACGGCCGCAAGGCUAAAACUCAAAGGAAUUGACGGGGGCCCGCACAAGCGGCGGAGCAUGCGGAUUAAUUCGAUGCAACGCGAAGAACCUUACCAAGGCUUGACAUGGACUGGAUCGCAUCAGAGAUGGUGUUUCCCUUCGGGGCUGGUUCACAGGUGGUGCAUGGUUGUCGUCAGCUCGUGUCGUGAGAUGUUGGGUUAAGUCCCGCAACGAGCGCAACCCUCGUUCCAUGUUGCCAGCGCGUAAUGGCGGGGACUCAUGGGAGACUGCCGGGGUCAACUCGGAGGAAGGUGGGGACGACGUCAAAUCAUCAUGCCCCUUAUGUCUUGGGCUUCACGCAUGCUACAAUGGCCGGUACAAAGGGUUGCGAUACUGUGAGGUGGAGCUAAUCCCAAAAAGCCGGUCUCAGUUCGGAUUGGGGUCUGCAACUCGACCCCAUGAAGUUGGAGUCGCUAGUAAUCGCAGAUCAGCAACGCUGCGGUGAAUACGUUCCCGGGCCUUGUACACACCGCCCGUCANAGUCACGAAAGUCUGGUAACACCCGAAGCCGGUGGUCCCUAACCCCUUGUGGGAGGAGCUGUCG